rfam:Canis lupus familiaris chromosome 36, whole genome shotgun sequence.
GCCUGGGUGGCUCAGUGGUUGAGCGUCUGCCUUUGGCUCAGGUCAUGAUCCCGGGGUCCUGGGUUUGAUUCCCAUAUCAGGCU